GGCAGUGUGGCUCAGUGAUAAUUGCUUGCCUGGCAUGCACAAGGCUCUGGGUUCAAUUCCCAGCACUGCAA
rnacentral:tRNA from 1 species